rnacentral:rRNA from 1 species
UGUGUAACACGUAGGGAACCUGCCCCUAAGACGAGGAUAACUACUGGAAACGGUAGCUAAUACUGGAUAGGAUAAGUUGACGCAUGUUGGCUUAUUUAAAGGUGCCUAUAAAGCACCGCUUAGGGAUGGCCCUGCGGCGCAUUAGCUAGUUGGUGGGGUAACGGCCUACCAAGGCGACGAUGCGUAGCUGUGCUGAGAGGCAGAACAGCCACACUGGGACUGAGACACGGCCCAGACUCCUACGGGAGGCAGCAGUAGGGAAUUUUCGGCAAUGGGGGGAACCCUGACCGAGCGAUGCCGCGUGAGUGAUGAAGGUCUUCGGACUGUAAAACUCUGUUAUUAGGGAAGAAUACUAUAGGGAGGAAAUGCCUUAUAGAUGACGGUACCUAAUGAGGAAGCCCCGGCCAACUAUGUGCCAGCAGCCGCGGUAAUACAUAGGGGGCGAGCGUUAUCCGGAAUUACUGGGCGUAAAGGGUGCGUAGGCGGUUUCUUAAGUCUAGUGUGAA